rnacentral:lncRNA from 1 species
AUGUUGAUUCAUACUCUCGCUCCCUCAACCCUUAAUCAUCUUCUCCUGAUCAAUAUCCACCAGUCAGUGGUGCUAUUUCGCAAAACAGGUUAUCCAUCAUGAAUUCAUGAUAAUGUUCUUCAUGUUACUAGUUAGUUGAAUCAAGAUACUAUGCUAUGCCCUUGGUUGAUUCAUCAGCUCGUGUCAAAGUUUGUGCUAGUUGAAAUAGGAGCAAGUAGGGAGGUGGCUUAGAUGCUUCAAACAUUUUGAAUCAAGAUUGCAAAGUAGAGGAACAUGGAAAUGAAAGUUAAUCGGUAAAAUGCUCAAGGCACAAGUUUAGUCAAAUCAUCAACUUUCAAUUAUUCUUAUAAAAUUGAUCUUUUUACUUGGUAUUUGCAGACAUCAUUCCACGGCAAAAGUAUCUUUGACAAUUGGGAGCAUCCAUUUCACGGAAACAUGAAAGCCGUAGUUUAAUCAUCUUUUUCUUUAUUAUUUUAUUUUUCCAUUAUGUUUAUCCUAAACCUUGUUGGGAUAUGUAGUAAGGGUAGUUGAUAAUUUAAACAACUAUUUGCUUAUGAGAGUAAAUUUAUAUAGGUCAAAAUUCUCUUGUUCGAUGU